ACGGAAGGCAGCAGUGGGGGAUAUUGCACAAUGGGGGGAACCCUGAUGCAGCAACGCCGCGUGAGGGAAGAAGGUUUUCGGAUUGUAAACCUCUGUCUAUGGGGACGAUAAUGACGGUACCCAUGGAGGAAGCUCCGGCUAACUACGUGCCAGCAGCCGCGGUAAUACGUAGGGAGCGAGCGUUGUCCGGAAUUACUGGGUGUAAAGGGUGCGUAGGCGGGACGGCAAGUCAGAUGUGAAAUGUAUGGGCUCAACCCAUAACCUGCAUUUGAAACUGUUGUUCUUGAGUGAGGUAGAGGUAAGCGGAAUUCCUAGUGUAGCGGUGAAAUGCGUAGAUAUUAGGAGGAACAUCGGUGGCGAAGGCGGCUUACUGGGCCUUUACUGACGCUGAGGCUCGAAAGCGUGGGGAGCAAACAGGAUUAGAUACCCUGGUA
rnacentral:rRNA from 1 species